AUGCUCCAGAUCCAAGUCCCAAGUCAAGGUCCAAAUCUUUCAAACCACACCAACUUCGUUAUCAGAAGAAAGAAUUUUUUUUGACAUUCUCCAAGUCCAAGUCUCCACCUCGAAAUUAUCAUAAGAAUUCAUAUCAUAUAUUUUUGUGUUGUCUUACCAACCAAACCCAGCCUUGCUUUCAGUAUCAACCACUGUGUGGCCACCGUUCCUCAUCUCCUUUAAUAAGCUCCCCAUCAAAGCUCCAACCUUUUGCUCUUUUCUGCAAAUAACACAAGGCUUACAGAGCUGCAAUGGCAGAAGCCUCCGCUCCGAUAGCCCCCCAACUCUUUCUCAGAUAAUUCAACAAAAGUAAUGGGGAAGAAGAGAAAGCACAGCGAGGCUGAGGCUGCGACUCGAGAAAAGGAGGAGGAGGUCGCUCCAGAGAGGCCUAAACGAACGCUUUCCGGUUGGAAGGAGAAUAAGGAUGACCAAGUAAACCAAACUGAAUCAGCGACAUUCUUUAGGAACAAAGAGAAGGUAUUGGUUACUUGUUCUCGUCGGAAUAGGUACAGUGAAUGCUGUGCACACAAUAGGGGAAUUGAAGCUUACUGGAAAUCAUCUAAAAAGGGUCGAGACCUAUUCUGAUUUGUUUAUUAUCCAAUUUUAAUAAAGAUGCCCACUGGAAGCUUUUGA
rnacentral:lncRNA from 1 species